GUUCAGGGAGUCUCUACCAACAGCAUCACCGGUAGCCACGAUCGCUCCCCAACUCCAGGAUCUAAUCAUGGACUAGAGGAAUUAUUACAACACAGCAAGAUACUUACAAAACUCGCUCUCGCAAAAAACACACAUAGUGCAUACGAUAGAGCUUACUACCUACACAAGAAAUUCAUGGCAGACCAUAAUCUCACAAAUUGGUUUGACAAUGUAACAUUGGUGGCUUUUGCCACGUUUUGCCACAUUAAGUUAAAAAUGUCGCAUAAUACCACUAAACUAUACCUCACGGGUAUCCAACAUCAUUUGUUCACAGAACAUCCUAACAACCAAAGGUUUCUCACCUCCUACCCCAUUAAAACCCUUCUUAGGGGUAUGCUCAAAUCGCAAGGACCUACACCGCAACGUAGGUGGCCUAUAGACAUUCAACUGUUUAAACGUUUGUCAAACCUACUAGAUACCACACUGUUCGAACCCCUUACUAACACCACUCUAAAAACAGCCAUAUACUUGGCUUUUUACAGUUUCUUACGACCCAGAGAAUUUACCAUUACUAGGCAACACGAGUCCAAGCAUUGCCUCCGGUAUUCUAACUUGUACAAAAAGCAGGACCACUACAUAUUAAGCUUACCGUCAACUAAGACCAGCCAGAUGGGGCACGAAGUUCUUAUUCAAUACUACCCCACCAACAACACAUGGUGCCCGGUGAAAGUUUUUAACAACUAUCUACAGUCAUCACCUACACGAACCUCACUCCCU